CUAGUGUCUGCGUGGCCGAGUAUAUCUGGGAUCUGUCAUGUCAUUGCAGAAGGAAGAUCAGUGAUCAUGUCUCGAACAUGAAGUCGGUUAUGUGUAGUGCUGGCUCUCCAAUCGCUCCAUAAUCUUAAUGCAGGUCAUGUCUAAAUUUUUACUUUCUAGCCAUUUGAUUAUAAUUGGUGCAGCUUUAUGUGAUACUCCUCUAUGCUUCGGUUUUAUAAUUUGGAACAAUUGUAGUUUUGGGGUGACUAAAAAUAUGGAGCCGGUAGGCUGAUUUCUAUAUUAUCCUUAAGGAUGACUGUUGUUUGGCUGUCAAAAACCGUUCGUUGAACAGUUUGUGUUAGGUUUAUUAUGUAGCUCUUGUUAGAUUCGUUUAAUAAGCACAAAUUAGUUA